rnacentral:rRNA from 1 species
CGUACACUCCUACGGGAGGCAGCAGUGGGGAAUAUUGGACAAUGGGCGCAAGCCUGAUCCAGCCAUGCCGCGUGAGUGAUAAAGGCCCUAGGGUUGUAAAGCUCUUUCACCGGUGAAGAUAAUGACGGUAACCGGAGAAGAAGCCCCGGCUAACUUCGUGCCAGCAGCCGCGGUAAUACGAAGGGGGCUAGCGUUGUUCGGAUUUACUGGGCGUAAAGCGCACGUAGGCGGACUAUUAAGUCAGGGGUGAAAUCCCGGGGCUCAACCCCGGAACUGCCUUUGAUACUGGUAGUCUUGAGUUCGAGAGAGGUGAGUGGAAUUCCGAGUGUAGAGGUGAAAUUCGUAGAUAUUCGGAGGAACACCAGUGGCGAAGGCGGCUCACUGGCUCGAUACUGACGCUGAGGUGCGAAAGCGUGGGGAGCAAACAGGAUUAGAUACCCCGGUAGUCCCAUGAU